UUUUUUCUUUUUAACAACAAGCCACUGAAAUGUUGACAUGUCAUUGCGCGUGAAAACACCAAAAAAUGAGCAAGUGAAAAUGUAGUUUAUGAUUUUUUAAUAAGAAGAAAAAGUACAUGUCAAUAACAACAAGAAUUCAACGGCUAUAUUCUUUUUCCCAAUUUGCAAAUAAAAGAACAGAAAUUGGCCACAAAAAUUUCUUAUUUCCAAAGAACAAAUUCAAAGCAAAAGUUGAAACCUUCAUCUUCUUCCCGAAUUCGUUAGCUAUAAAUUUCUUCUGAAAAUCUUCUUUUUGUGAACAAUAUUUUUUUUUUCAAUUGAAAACCCUAAAUUUAUGUUGAAAGGGAAAACCUUCCUCCUCAUUAUGUAAUUCCUCAAUGCAAUUGUGGUGAAGAAGCCGAGUUCAAGAUUUCUUGGACUGGAUCGAACCUAAAAAGGAGGUUUCUUGGAUUUAGAAAUUUUGGGGUAAGAUUAAACUUUAGAGUUUAAUGAUUUAGGGUGUUUGUUGAGAAGGUUGAAUGCUGCUGAGAGGGAAAGUGCUAGUAGAGUAAUGGCAACAGAAAUUAGCGGGGAAAGAAUGGAAAGAAGGGAAAGAGAAAACUGUAAUGGUUGUGUGAACAGUGUGUUAGUUGUUUAGUUGUAUAACUUGGUUUUUGUUGUGGGUAGGAAGUAGGAACUAAUAUAUGUGUACUCUAUUUUGACUCAAUGAAACCUUCCUAUUGAAAUAAGC
rnacentral:lncRNA from 1 species